GGGUGGUCGAACUGACAACUGGAGAAACAAAGAAGUGAGAAGCUGUUCAGAAAAGACCUCAAAGAAGUUAACACUAAAGUGUGUAGGUAACUUGAGAUGUUUUAUCUAUCUUAAUCACGAGGGUCGGGGCCUGUUCCCGAGGGAGCUGUAUAUCCUCCGCCUGGGGCUCGUCAGUCACGAAAUAAGAAAAAGGAUUAUGCUAGUCCGUGGCGGGAGAAUCAUUUUAUCCGAAACUUCAGCCCUGCGCACAUCGGAGAAUUUGGAGAGAGCCCAAGGACGCGCUACCAACAGCAGGCUAAUGGAACGUGAAGUAUGGACUUUUUCGACCGAAAAUACAUCUGUUGUGGACCUGGGAUGCUUUCUGAUGAAGACAACUAAAGUGACCUUGGGCCAGUAAACAGUGUUAGUGAUGUAUUACAAGAGCAGAGGGUGAAUAAUUAUUCCGAAGAGCAGUGGCCCCUCAACACAGUGGCGCUGAGCUGUAAAUAUGGAUGGGAUAUAUAAAAAAAAUAUG
rnacentral:lncRNA from 1 species